GCUCCCAUGGCGUAGUGGUCACUGCGCUCGCCUUGCACGCGGGAGAGACUCGGGUUCGAUUCCCGGCGGGGCUA
rnacentral:tRNA from 1 species